CCCUAAAAAGCAAAAAUAACUGAAUAAAUACAUAAAUUCCCCUUGUGCUGUGAAUCCCAUUGUAAUUAUCUGGACUUUCCUUUUUAUUUUUCAGAUGAUCCUCAAAAAAACUCGGUAAGUAUCUCUGACAACCUCUUUGUUUCCACAGCCUGUAUUAAACAUUCAGGUUUUUGGUUCUUUCGGCAUCCCCUCUCUUCUUCCCUAUAUGCCAUCUUUUGGCUCACAUGUCAUCUCCAUGUCUUCCCUCUCCUCCCUCAAGGUUUCUGUUUAUGGACGUCUCCCAUCCUAAGUUCUCUCCGUUUCUUUUACCCAAGACCUGAUUCCUUCUCGCUGCUUCCCACUUCAUUUCACAGGGCCCUUCCUGUAAACAUGGUCUUACUCUGGCAUCCAGAGUCUUGGCAGGUUCGUUUUGAUUUUGUGAGAAGAAGGGGAGAGACUGAUGGACAUGUGGCUUCUGUUCCACGUUAGCUUCUGGAACACUUCCAUUAACUUAGACUCUCUGUCAUAUAAUAAGGUUCAAGGGGCCAUUCUCAUGCCAUUGAUGCCUCCCCAAAGCUAAUGAAAUAAAACAAGAUUGCAAAUUUGCUGAGUGAUGUUUUCCCAAAGCUUGUCUUUUAAAGAGUGUGUAGACUCAGUUCUAAUCCAUUGAUCCAGGUGGGCUUUGGGCUCUUACUUCCAAUGCUCCCGGUCAUUUCCUGCAGUCUUUUCGCAGGUGCACAGAGAUUUUACACACCAUUUCACGGAUUUCUUUUCUUUUAUGUCAUACCACUUCCUCUGUCAUCUUCUUGCAUGAUAUUGACAUAGUUAUUAAUUUAUCACAUUGAGACAAGCUUUAAGUGUUUGUAGAAGCACUGUGUACACUAGGGAAAAUUAAUUUAUACUCUAGUUCUCCAACUUGCAAUUUUCUAUGACUGUCAUGAGAGGCUAUCGCCCUAGGAUACUCCUCGGUGUUUUUAAUGAAACACUGAUAUAAACUAAGAUAAUACGGCUAUGGAGAGAGUUUUGGCUAGAUGGAUGCUCUUACUAUGGACUUCCUCACAACCUCAUAAGUAUGGGACUCCCGUAUGUGUCCAUAUUUACACUGUAUUCUGGAGAAAGGAGAAAGCCAAGUGAAAGAUAAAUGAUUGCUACUGUUUAUCCCAGAAGAAGUCCUAUUCUUCUUCCUUUCACGCCAUCACUUUCUAUCUUUGUAGCUUUGCCUCAAGCGGUGAGGGGGUGGGGGAGGUAAGACAACACUGCCACCGAUUCACACCAUGUCCUGUGAACAUCUAGGCUUCCAUUUCUAAAAACAUUGGUCCCUUUGAGACAUAGCCUAAGCUCAGAAAGCACUUCCCAAUUCUGUCAGCCGCCCAGCAGAGAGAGCCAAAGGGUUCUUUGGGUGGUGGUGGUGUUUUGUUUGUUUUCUACCACACUGGUAGAGUCGUUAAAAACAUAGCAGUCUUUGCCUCUAAGGAAAUGCUCCAGUUAUGAUUCUGUUUUCAAAUGGAUAGUAUUGAGGAUCAUUUCUUAACUGUCUGUAGCAGGUUUCAUAGGACGAUUGCUGUACAUUUGAUUGGAAAAAUGGAUGCUCUUUCUCCUUGCUUUUUCAUCCAUCUCUCUCCAUCUCUCUCUCUCUCUCUCUGNAGUGCAGAACCAGUGAUGGAUCCCGCUCAUCCCAGGGGAAGUCCUUUCCUGCCUCCUCCCAUGCUGUCACUUCCAGUCUUGGAUCCUCUGACUCACCAAGGCAUGAGGGGAGGUAAAACAAGGUUCCUCUGAUUUCUGAAAAGCCUUCAAACCUUUAAGAAAGUUGGGUCAAGUUGAACCACAGAGAAAAGCCUGGAUGUUUUGCAAAUUUUUUGUCCUUGUCUCAUCCUCCCUUAGGUCCUCAUUUUCAAUGGUUUUUGAGUGUUUUCCCUUUUUGGUUAGCAGUAAUGAUGAGGAGAAAAGCCUCCAGCCUCAGUAAUGCCCUACCCUGUCUACCUUGUCAUCGUUUCAUGUUUUCUAUUCUUACCCAUGUGCAUAAAGUAUCCCCAGAAAUAAACAUGUUACUUCGGUUUGCCUGCGGUUCGAAAAAAAGCCCAGCCUACAGAAUUGUGUCACUUUGUGUAUUUUAAUUUCUGAAAUGUCAGUUCUCUCAGAAGUAGGCUGUUGAAAAUUUAGAGCAAUCUUCACAGAAAGCUUUCAUUUACUGGGUCCUGAACCACGAAAUCUAGAUGCAGUGCCCACUGUGUUGUAUUUGACAUUGUCCCAGUUGUUACUGGAAUGGUUCCGAUUCCCACCCUGGUUACAGGGACGAGUUUUUCCUUUGAUUGCUCACACUCUGUUGACUGCCGAUGCCCUGCAUGAGUUAUCUGAAGACAGGCCAGUUCACGUCUGCCCAUCACACUCUCAAGGGACCCAGUGUAUAGAAAUAUUGUUGCCCGACAUGUCCUGGUUAUUUUCAAUUUACAACCACAGUUCUUACUCUUCGUUCAUUUUUAUGUUACCUAUUUCUUUAUUACCUCACCAAGUUGACCGCCCUCUGGCAUCCUUGGGUGCACUUUUUCCCCACAGGAAAUCACACUGAUCAUACAUAGCUAAAGUCCAAAGUUGUGUUCUGAGAUGAUGCCACACCUCUCUGUAAUACCCGAACACAGGAAAUAUUUUCAAUCUUCAUAAGCCUGUAUGUGACAAAGUAUUCUGGAAAGGGUGGUGGUGCUUUCAAUGGAACGGCAUUUCGGGAGCUGCCCCUUUAACUCAGGAGUGGAUGGGACUUGAAAAUGCUCCAGAAGCACUCAUUCGGAGAUGUAGCGCUCUGGUGACGCCUUCUUCAUAAAUCUCGGAAAACCUGUCUCAUACAUGCACGUUCAGAUAUUUUCUCUCAGAUGGGAGGAUGCACAGUAAGCAUGGGGUGAGAAAGAGUUUCUCUCAGGGAAACGUUCUCUCUCCUGGAUUCAGCACCCAUGUGCUUUGAUUCAGAAAAGCUGCACUUCUGCAUGAGGUAAAACACACACUCAAAUUCAGGAAGGUCGCCAUUUAAUCCGUAGCAACAAGGUUGCCCAUUUAAUCAGUAGCUGUCUCGUUGUGAAAAGAGGCACCCGGAAACCUGACCGUGGAUCCCCUACCCCAACAGGGUCUCGGUUUAACCUCACACAGGGUUUGUGGCAACUUGACACAAGGUAGCACCCCCGACCACCAGCAUGAGAACUGACUUCCACAUGCACAGCCAGCCCAUGGCCAUGCUAAAGCGCACAAGCAGAACAACAGGACCCUAAAUAUGGUCAAAGGGAUCCAGACUGCUUUUGCGAACUAAACCCCAGAACGAAUCCUUCUCGUUUUCGUCAGCUCAUCGAAAUGAACCCCAUUUCCCCUCUGUUCCUUUACUGGAGACAAUCUCUGAACACUGCAGUCCUCUGAGCCGAUGUGUGUGCGGGUGGCUGUGGGGGUGGCUGUGGUUGUCCCUUGAAACCGCAGAGGGUUCAUUUUAAAUAGGAAUUUUCAAUAAGUCUGAAUUCUCCCUCUAGUUCUCCCCCAUGAUGUAUACAUUUACCUUUAUUUGCUUUUCUUGCAGCCAGUCUUCGGAAAACAAAUGGUAACUUUUCUGGUAUCCCAUCAUCCCAGUGCUCUUGAGCCCCUCUGAAGCGACUGGUUCAGCCUUUCCUCUUGUCUGCCUUUUCAUCUGUUUCGCUUGUGUCGGCAUGUCUUUCUCUUGCACGUCCUGUCUACGAGCUCCACCUCAAUGUUUUGCGUGGGACUUGUCCCACGUUACUUCUGUCCAUUUCUGUUUGCCUACCUCCUCUGCUCUGCCAUUCCUGCUCUUUGCAAUGCAUGCCAUGCCCUCCCGAUAAGGACUGGCUUUUCUUCGGUCUUUCAGGCACUUGCCACAGUUUCAGGAAGUUGGUGAGAUGCAAAGCAUUACGCUGAGAGGGAGAGGGUUUCUCUUCCACGUGUGUUUCUCAAAAACAUCCAAACACAGGGGCUCUGUCGGGACUUCCAAGUCAGAGGGGCCACUCCUCCACAAGCGAUAGCUCUUCAAAGACUUGAGUGAUGGGAGAUGGCCCCCAAACGGCUCAGUGAACGCCCUCUGCCCAUUGCCCUUUCAAAGCCUAAGUAGCAUAUGCUAUCAUCCAUCGGUCAAGAGUGUGCCAGGGCGCCCCUCUUCCACUGGCCUUACCCCUGGGAACCAAGUGUUCCCAGGUAUAAACAUGUUUCUUCAGUUUGCCUGCUGUCCUAAGCUAAAGCCAUGCCUACCGCUUGUGUCAUUUUGUGUGUCUCAGAGUUCUGAAAGGUCAGUUCUCCCUGACAUAGGCUGUUGGAAAGUUAGAGCAAUCUUCAGUUCCACGUAACACCUCUAUUCGGUCCUUUUGGGUUACUCACUUUUAGAAUGAUUAGCUUUCCUCCCCAGAGGUUGGGUGAGAUGGUAUUACUAGCCUUUUUGGUUUUGUAAGGGCCACACCCACCGGCACAGGGACGUUCCCAGGCUAGGGGCUGAGUGGGAGCUGUACCCACCGGCCUACACCACAGAAGCAGCAAGGCCGGGUACUGGCCACCCCUGCGAACCACACACCACAGCCCAUGGCCAUGCCAGACCCUUUAACCUCCUGAGCGAGGGCCGGGAUGGAACCUGUGUCCUCCUGGAUACUCGCCCGAUUCACUUCCACUGAGCCAUGACGGGAACUCCCAGGAAAGCCUCGAGUCACACCAAAGAAAAGAGAGAGAACAAGAGCAUGGCUUUCUGGCACCUUGCUCAUUCAGUCGUGCCAUUCGUUUCCCUCCACCAACGCAUUUUCGAAAACUACAUUUCCCCGAAAUGCACGAGUCUGUCUCAACAUUGAUUUGAUUCCAUUUCUGUGCACUUCGAGUAUAAAAACGAUCUGUCGCUGAGAACGUCCUUACGACCAUGUCAGUUGACAAGAAUGGAAAGCGUAGGAUUAGAGCCUUGUCGCCCAGGUCGUUGCCUUUCUGCAGGAGAUGACACCUUCAGAGGUAAUUUUGAAAGCCCUCUUGACAACUACAUUAAGUUUAGCAUCGCUUUGUGCCAUGCAAAGCAUUAGACACCAUCACACUUGCAAAAGCCAGUACCGAGACAUACGUCAUCCACUUGCUCAGGCACUGUGGCACUGUGGUGUCUUCGGAAAAGACUGUUUUGGGAGUGACACGUGUGUUUCACAUGAACUACGAAAGCAGUGCUUUCACUGGAAGACAACUUGUCUACUCUGGCAUCAUCAGAAGCGUUUGCCAAACUGAGAGAUGUAACCUCGAUCCACAACCAAGAGAGCAAUUUCUAUAAUUUUUUUUGUUUUUUUUUGGUGUUUGUUUUUUUAUGUCCGCACCCGUGGCAUGCGGAAGUUCCAAGGCCAGUCUCUGAAUCUGAGCCGCAGCUGCAACCAAGACUACUGCUGGGGCAAGGCCACAUCCUUGAGCUCACUGUGUCCAGCCAGAGCACGAGCCUGCACCUCCACUGCAACAUGAGCCACUGAAGUGAGGUUCCUAACCCACCGUACCACAGUGGGAAGUCCUGAAAUAACAUGACUUCAUUUUAUUAGAUAUGUCUUCUGAGUCAGAAACUCCAUGCAUUCAAGAUAGAAGAAGCACAGAGGGCCCCAAACAAACUGAACCAAAACAGACCCACAGCAAGACACAGCAUAAUAAAAACGGCAAAAGUUAGNAAGGCAGCAAGAGAAAAACAGAAUGUUACCUACAAGGGAACCCCCAUAAGAAUAUCAGCUGAUUUCUCUACAGAAACACUACAGGCCAGGAGGGAAUGGCAAGAGAUAUUUAAAGAGCUAAAAGGAAAAAAUAUGCAACCUAGAAUACUCUAUCCAGCAAGAAUAUCAUUUAAAAUAGAAGGGGAAAUAAAAAUUUUUCCCUACAAACAAAAUCUUAAAGAACACAGCAACACAAAACCCAGGUUAAAGGAAAUAUUGAAAGGGCUUCUCUAAACCAAAAAGAAAGGAAG
rnacentral:lncRNA from 1 species